AAUAAAAUACGUUGAAAAAAUAAUUUUAAAAAAAGAAUGCUUAGGUUUUGGUUCUAGCCCAGACUUAAAGACAUUUCGAAUUUAACAUGUCCAAAACCGCAGUCACCGCUCCCUAAAUCUGUCUUCUCUACUUCUCUAACAAACAGUCCCAUCUCCUGGUUCUCAAGACAGAAAUUGAGGACUCAUUCUUGAUUUCUUCCUUUACCUCCUGUA